rnacentral:rRNA from 1 species
AGCGAACGAUGGCGGCAGGCUUAACACAUGCAAGUCGAGCGCCCCGCAGGGGGAGCGGCAGACGGGUGAGUAACACGUGGGAACGUACCCUUCAGUUCGGAACAACCCAGGGAAACUUGGGCUAAUACCGGAUACGUCCGUAAGGAGAAAGAUUUAUCGCUGAAGGAUCGGCCCGCGUCUGAUUAGCUAGUUGGUGAGGUAAUGGCUCACCAAGGCUACGAUCAGUAGCUGGUCUGAGAGGAUGAUCAGCCACAUUGGGACUGAGACACGGCCCAAACUCCUACGGGAGGCAGCAGUGGGGAAUAUUGGACAUGGGGGCAACCCUGAUCCAGCCAUGCCGCGUGAGUGAUGAAGGCCCUAGGGUUGUAAAGCUCUUUUAGCGGGGAAGAUAAUGACGGUACCCGCAGAAAAAGCCCCGGCUAACUUCGUGCCAGCCGCCGCGGUAAUAC